AAAAAUGGUAGUAGACCCCCUUAACUCUUUCCAUUCAACAAAAUGAGGCAAAUCAUUCUAUUUUCUGAUUUUUUCUUCAAGAAAGCGCUAAGUGUACUUUGUUUUCUCUUAUUCUCCAUUGUACAUUCCGGACAAGAACGUAAGCGCUACAGCGUAACCGUAAGUGCUGACCGUAACAUGUGUUUUACUGCGCCCUGCCAGAACGUAACACGUAAGCGCUAGAAUGUAACAUAUGAGCUGGUAACAGGCGUGGAGAACAUAAGCACCAGCGAGUGACACUAGUGGGUAAAGAACGAAACGAAUUAUGUUUUUGUCUAAAGAGAGCGUGCACACAAAGAUAUGAACUUAUUUUUUGACCAUUUACUUUUUU